rnacentral:rRNA from 1 species
GACGAACGCUGGCGGCGUGCUUAACACAUGCAAGUCGAACGGGUCUGCCCUGUUUUUUGCGGGGUGGGUCAGUGGCGAACGGGUGAGUAACACGUGAGUAACCUGCCCCUCACUUCUGGAUAACCGCUUGAAAGGGUGGCUAAUACGGGGUGUUCUGGCUGUGCCGCAUGGUGUGGCUGGGAAAGAUUCACUUUUGUGGUGUUUUGGUGGGGGAUGGGCUCGCGGCCUAUCAGCUUGUUGGUGGGGUGAUGGCCUGCCAAGGCUUUGACGGGUAGCCGGCCUGAGAGGGUGGGCGGUCACACUGGGACUGAGAUACGGCCCAGUCUCCUGCGGGAGGCAGCAGUGGGGGGUAUCGCACAAUGGGCGGAAGCCUGAUGCAGCGACGUCGCGUGAGGGAUGGAGGCCUUCGGGUUGUGAACCUCUUUCGCCGGUGAAGAAGGUCCUGCUCUUUGUGGUGGGGUUGACGGUAGCCGGGUUAUGAAGCGCCGGCUAACUACGUG